AGAGUUUGAUCAUGGCUCAGGAUGAACGCUAGCGGCAGGCUUAAUACAUGCAAGUCGAGGGGCAGCAUGACUGUAGCAAUACAGUUGAUGGCGACCGGCAAACGGGUGCGGAACACGUACACAACCUUCCUUCGAGCGGGGAAUAGCCCAGAGAAAUUUGGAUUAAUACCCCAUAGUAUAUUAGUUAGGCAUCUAACUAUUAUUAAAGAUUUAUCACUUGAAGAUGGGUGUGCGGCUGAUUAGAUAGUUGGCGGGGUAACGGCCCACCAAGUCUGCGAUCAGUAACUGGUGUGAGAGCACGACCAGUCACACGGGCACUGAGACACGGGCCCGACUCCUACGGGAGGCAGCAGUAAGGAAUAUUGGUCAAUGGACGCAAGUCUGAACCAGCCAUGCCGCGUGGAGGAUGAAGGCCCUCUGGGUUGUAAACUUCUUUUAUCUGGGACGAAAAGGGCCUUUCUAGGUCAACUGACGGUACCAGAGGAAUAAGCACCGGCUAACUCCGUGCCAGCAGCCGCGGUAAUACGGAGGGUGCAAGCGUUAUCCGGGAUUCACUGGGUUUAAAGGGUGCGUAGGUGGGUUGGUAAGUCAGUGGUGAAAUCUCCGAGCUUAACUUGGAAACUGCCAUUGAUACUAUCAGUCUUGAAUAUUGUGGAGGUUAGCGGAAUAUGUCAUGUAGCGGUGAAAUGCUUAGAUAUGACAUAGAACACCAAUUGCGAAGGCAGCUGGCUACGCAUAUAUUGACACUGAGGCACGAAAGCGUGGGGAUCAAACAGGAUUAGAUACCCUAGUAGUCC
rnacentral:rRNA from 1 species